rnacentral:rRNA from 1 species
GACGAACGCUGGCGGCGUGCUUAACACAUGCAAGUCGAACGAUGAAGCCCCUUCGGGUGUGGAUUAGCGGCGGAACGGGGAGUAACACGUUGGCAACCUGCCUUAUAGAGGGGAAUAGCCAUCCGAAAGGAUGAUUAAUACCUCAUAAUAUUGUAGCUUCGCAUGGAGCGACCAUCAAAGGAGUAUACCACGAUAAGAUGGGCACGCGGCGCAUUAGCUAGUUGGUGAGGUAACGGCUCACGAAGGCGACGAUGCGUAGCCGACCUGAGAGGAUGAUCGGCCACAUUGGGACUGAGACACGGCCCAGACUCCUACGGGAGGCAGCAGUGGGGAAUAUUGCACAAUGGGGGAAACCCUGAUGCAGCAACGCCGCGUGAGUGAUGACGGUCUUCAGGUUGUAAAGCUCUGUCUUCAGGGACGAUAAUGACGGUACCUGAGGAAGAAGCCACGGCUAACUACGUGCCAGCAGCCGCAGUAA